CAAAACUGGUGUAAAAGCUAUAAUAAUAGAGUUGUAAAACCAAAAACUUCGCUAGCGGUUUGACGUUUGCCGUAAACGUCAAUCUUAAGGUCUCUAUUGACGUUUACGGCAAACGGCAAACCGCUAGCGAAGUUUUUGAUUUUACAACUCUAUUAUAAUAGCUUUUACACCAGUUUUG
rnacentral:miRNA from 1 species